AAAUGCCAUCAAAAGGACUUUUCAAGGCUUGUAAUGAGGUUGGGCUAACAAGAAAAAUUGGUUUUUCUAGAAUGCAAAAUCCUUGAGUCAAGAGAACUAUCAAAAUAUUCAACAAUUAAGCACAACUCUCUCACCAAAAUUUCUCAUUCCCAACUUCUUCCCUUUUCUUUUCUUUUUCAUUGAGCUCAUCUUCAUGCUUUUCUUCUUUUCUUUUCUUUUUCUCAUGAAUUUUUCUCUUUUCUCAACAAUUGAGCUCAAUGCCUUUUACUUACUUUUUCAAUUUUCCCCC
rnacentral:lncRNA from 1 species